rnacentral:rRNA from 1 species
UACGAAGGGGGCUAGCGUUGCUCGGAAUUACUGGGCGUAAAGCGCACGUAGGCGGCUUUCUAAGUCGGGGGUGAAAUCCUGGAGCUCAACUCCAGAACUGCCUUCGAUACUGGAAAGCUCGAGUCCGGGAGAGGUGAGUGGAACUGCGAGUGUAGAGGUGAAAUUCGUAGAUAUUCGCAAGAACACCAGUGGCGAAAGCGAAUCUCUGGACAGUUCCUGACGCUGAUGCACGAAGGCUAGGGGAGCAAACGGG